rnacentral:lncRNA from 1 species
GGAAAAUUGUAAAUACUGUUUAAAUAAAAUCGACAAAUAUUAAUAUAUUCUUCACUUUCUAAGUUCCGAUCGACAAAUUCCAAUAAAGUUUUGGCAUGGAUCUAAUAUAGCUUACUGCUAGUAUUAAGUCUUGCGUGUAUUUGCCAAGUUUUUGUGUCAGUAAGGUGGAUCCACAGGUAGAUUUGUUUAUUUUGUUUGCCAAUACACUAGAUUGUUGUGUACGCCGCACGUGUAAAAUACUAUUACCUUGUUACCUCGGAAAUGACUUUCAAAUGAUCGAAGACUAAUCAUGUCCAAGAUUCAACAGAGAAGUAAGUAGAUAUCGUUUGUUUGUGUAAUUUCCAUGGAAACAUUAUAUAAAUCUGUGAACAAAAAAUGAAAAAGGAUAUAUUUCAAUUUCAGUGGGUCAAGCUUUAAGAAAACUAAAGAUUCGGAGACCAGGAAAUAAAAAUUCUGUUCGAAUACAACGAUCUCACAGCACUAGAUCAAGAAAAAGGCUUCAUUCAGCGAAUUCCCUGC